GAAGGGUGCAAGCGUUAAUCGGAAUUACUGGGCGUAAAGGGUGCGUAGGCGGCUGUUUAAGUCUGUCGUGAAAUCCCCGGGCUCAACCUGGGAAUGGCGAUGGAUACUGGGCAGCUAGAGUGUGUCAGAGGAUGGUGGAAUUCCCGGUGUAGCGGUGAAAUGCGUAGAGAUCGGGAGGAACAUCAGUGGCGAAGGCGGCCAUCUGGGACAACACUGACGCUGAAGCACGAAAGCGUGGGGAGCAAACAGGAUUAGAUACCCUGGUAGUCCACGCCCUAAACGAUGCGAACUGGAUGUUGGUCUCAACUCGGAGAUCAGUGUCGAAGCAAACGCGUUAAGUUCGCCGCCUGGGGAGUACGGUCGCAAGACUG
rnacentral:rRNA from 1 species